rnacentral:rRNA from 1 species
UACGGAAGGCAGCAGUGGGGAAUAUUGCACAAUGGGCGAAAGCCUGAUGCAGCUAUGCCGCGUGUAUGAAGAAGGCCUUAGGGUUGUAAAGUACUUUCAUCGGGGAGGAAAAACAAAACUAAUAAUUUUAUUUCUUGACGUUACCCGAAAAAGAAGCACCGGCUAACUCCGUGCCAGCAGCCGCGGUAAUACGGAGGGUGCUAGCGUUAAUCAGAAUUACUGGGCGUAAAGAGCACGUAGGUGGUUUUUUUAAGUCAGAUGUGAAAUCCCUGGGCUUAACCUAGGAACUGCAUUUUGAAACUGAAAUACUAGAGUAUCGUAGAGGGAGGUAGAAUUCUAGGUGUAGCGGUGAAAUGCGUAGAUAUCUGGAGGAAUACCUGCGGCGAAAGCGGCCUCCUAAACGAAUACUGACACUGAGGUGCGAAAAGCGUGGGGAGCAAAACAGGGAUUAGAUACC